AACCAAGACAAAAUCUAACUACUCAGUCACUGCCUACAACCCAAGUUCACACACAGCAUAUGCAAGCGCAGAGUCUUGGGCAAUCUCAGAACGUUCUUCCGCCGCAACAAUCAGUUCAAAAUCAAAACCAACUGCAGAGAAACCUCCCCCAGAGCCUAUCACAGCAACAUCCACAACAACAGAUUCUGGGUCAGACUCAGCAGCAAAGUUUCAUUUCAUCCCAGCCCCCAGAUCCAGU
rnacentral:misc_RNA from 1 species